rnacentral:rRNA from 1 species
AUGACGGUGGUGCUUGCACCACCUGAUUAGUGGCGAACGGGUGAGUAACACGUGAGUAACCUGCCCCCCACUUCGGGAUAACCUCGGGAAAUCGUGGCUAAUACCGGAUACGAGCACUCAUCGCAUGGUGGGUGCUGGAAAGAUUUAUCGGUGGGGGAUGGACUCGCGGCCUAUCAGUUUGUUGGUGAGGUGAUGGCUCACCAGGACCAUGACGGGUAGCCGGCCUGAGAGGGCGACCGGCCACACUGGGACUGAGACACGGCCCAGACUCCUACGGGAGGCAGCAGUGGGGAAUAUUGCACAAUGGGCGAAAGCCUGAUGCAUCGACGCCGCGUGGGGGAUGACGGCCUUCGGGUUGUAAACCCCUUUCUCAGGGAAGAAGCGAGAGUGACGGUACCUGCAGAAGAAGCGCCGGCUAACUACGUGCCAGCAGCCGCGGUAAUACGUAGGGCGCAAGCGUUGUCCGGAAUUAUUGGGCGUAAAGAGCUUGUAGGUGGCUUGUCGCGUCUGCCGUGAAAA